AUUGAACGCUGGCGGCAGGCCUAACACAUGCAAGUCGAGCGAGCGGCGGACGGGUGAGUAAGGUAUGGGCCUCUGCCUGAUGGCGGGGGAUCACUACUGGAAACGAUAGCUAAUACCGCAUACCAUCAGAUGAACCCAUAUGGGAUUAGCUAGUAGGUAAGGUAACGGCUUACCUAGGCGACGAUCCCUAGCUGGUCUGAGAGGAUGAUCAGCCACACUGGGACUGAGACACGGUCCAGACUCCUACGGGAGGCAGCAGUGGGGAAUAUUGCACAAUGGGCGCAAGCCUGAUGCAGCCAUGCCGCGUGUAUGAAGAAGGUCUUCGGGUUGUAAAGUACUUUCAGUUGGGAGGCGUUACCGACAGAAGAAGCACCGGCUAACUCCGUGCCAGCAGCCGCGGUAAUUC
rnacentral:rRNA from 1 species